UACGGAGGAUCCGAGCGUUAUCCGGAUUUAUUGGGUUUAAAGGGUGCGCAGGCGGGAGAUUAAGUCGGCGGUGAAAUUUUGCAGCUCAACUGUAAAAGUGCCUUCGAAACUGGUUUCCUUGAGUGUAGAUGAAGUAGGCGGAAUUUGUGGUCUAGCGGUGAAAUGCAUAGAUAUCACGAGGAACUCCGAUUGCGCAGGCAGCUUACUAAACUACUACUGACGCUCAGGCACGGAGGCGUGGGGAUCAAACAGGAUUAGAUACCCCGGUA
rnacentral:rRNA from 1 species